AUUGUUCGCGAAUAUUCAAUUUGGAAUGCGAUUUUGUUAAUAAAAAAAAUACUUAUAACUUAUGCAAAACCCAAGAGAGGCAUUUAUAUUUAUUUCUUUUGCGUUCAUUUUCAAAUUCGCCGUGCAUAUAUUUUUGUGCAUGGCGCUUGAGAGGGCAUCACGUGACUAAAAACGACCAACCAACGACCUCGCUUCGGCCAUCUUGGCAUCUUCAUCUUGGCCACCUUGCUUUGCCGUGGGUGGAUCGUUUGUAUUAUUUGUGCUUUUUAAGAAUAUUUUUUUAAUUCGGAUACUUUUAUAAUAGCUUUAAUAGUAUUAUUAACAUAGUGAAUAAAAUGGUGUCCUGUUUUUAACGCAGUUGGAGUAGCAGAAACAAAUGUAGAUAAAAAAAUCUGCAGGAAUAACGGUUCAAUUAUGACAGAAGCUCCAAACAAAUGACUGUGAAUGAAAAGCCCUAUUAAAAGCGUUCCAGAAGAUCCUGCGAAGAAGACAUGAAGUAUAGAUCAGAUCUGUUAAUAGAGGAGUAUGUUCAAAACACUUUUUAGAAAAAGAUAUUGACAGAACUUCACUUUCAUCUGUUCGUUUAAGAGACUGUGCUGUUCCAAUAGCUUAUGUCACACAGAAUCAGCUGAGAGAAGUGGUCUACAAAAAACCAGAAAGGAAACGGAAUAUGUGGCUACGAAAAGCAAAAGAAAGGUUUACAAAGCAAAUGUGACACAUUUUUUUAUAAUAUUUAGGAAUGUCAGUAAAUUACAUUAAAAAAUGUAUGUAAAGAUUUUUUGCAAUAAAAAUGUUUAUAUUUAUCAAGGAUGUAUUAUUUGGUAUGGCCACAUAUCGUCAGUGAUGUGACAAUACCUCCUAUCUGUUUUUUUCAAGAGAUUUGUAAGAUAGACUAAAAACUUGUUUCGGCCACCUCCUGUUUUCAUAUAUUUUUUGACUUGUUUUGCAGUAAAUUCAACUAUCUAUUUACUACAAAAAAGUCAGAAUACGUACGAAAACAGAAAGUGACCUUAAAAAAUGUUUUUCGUCUCCUGCAAACCUCAUGAAAAAACAUAUAGGAGGUAUUGUCACAUUACUGACGAUAUAUUUCAGUGAAUGUCUAAAAAAUAUACUGUGAAUGUUCAAAGAACGUUCGUAGACAUUCAUGGAAUGUUCUAACAAGACAUUC